GCCAUUUCCCUCCAACCACCCAUGGGGCAAGACUCCCACUGUGUGGGCAGGAGAUUCUCAGUUGUACAGGAUGGUUUCACAACUGUCACCUCUGCCCCAGAACUCACAACAAGAAAACUGCCAGUGGAGGUGAGACCAACAUGGCACUUGAGUUUUGUCAACUGGAAUCAGUAUCCUUUUAGAAGUCUCCAAGACAAAGCUUGGAAGUUCCCAGGAUUAAGGAGUAUGGCUAUGCACGCUCAUGCACACUAUGGCUUGAGUUUGGAUGUACAGAACAAAAUUGGCAGGAAUCAGUUCUCUUCGCCUGUGGGGACAGGGAAGCAAAGGUCUCCAGACUUGGCAGUAAGUGUCUUUAUGUGCUUAGCUUCUCCCUGGCAAAGAAAUCUUUAUUUCUUCAUCUGGGUUUCAUGAAGAACUGUUCUGUGAGAAGCCUUCACUGAACUACUGACUACUGACUUGUGCUGAAGGACCCUUCCAGAUCUCAUAUGCCCUGCUGCUGCUGUGCCUGUCUAGUUCUGCAUUAUCAGCUGGACCCCUCUCCAUGAGUAGCCUUGCACGACUACUCAUGCUGACAUGAUCUGUGGCUGCAGCAGUGGCUGGAGCACUGUCUCUUUCAAGAGCUGGUCCUUGUACCGCUAUGCAGAUGGCCGCUUACUCAUCCUGGAAAUAAUUGGAGACAAUUUCAAUGAGACACAAAGUCUACCGCCAGUCCCAGAGGCUCUGCAUGGCUUUAGAAGACAAGUUUCUAUAACAUGGUUUUGUAACAAUGAUUUAUUUCACGCAUGAGUACUCUAUCUGCAUGUACAACUGCAUGCCAGAAGAGGGCAUCGAUCGGAUCCUAGUUGUAAGGCAACCAUGCAGUUGCUGGGAACUGAACUUGGGACCCCUGGAAGAGCAGCCAGUAUAAAGAGUUGAAACAGAGGCAAGCAGCAUGGUAUGAGGUCUCUCUACUUGGAAAGCCAUGGGAACAAGUGCCCUGCCAGCAGAACCACCUCAGUCUGCUCCUCUCUCUCCGCCUGGCCGCCACGGUCUGAGGUGACUAUUGUUAAGGAAGGAGUGCGGGCUCCUUUCUAACCACAGGAGAGUGUGGUCCACACAGAGGCAGGCAGGGUCCAAGAUGUGCGUCACCUACAGCUUACCAUCUACCGUGGGAGUCAUCUCUAACUCUAUGAAAGCAGAGAGUCCACAGUGCCCACAGUGGCUACAAUUUUCUUACCGUACUAUUUUGUGGAGUCACCAAGGUUCAGACAGAGGAGACAUGGAGGGAAUAAAACAAAAAGAAAAAGAAUCAGAUACUUCCAAA
rnacentral:lncRNA from 1 species